UUUUUUUUCUUUUUAAGAUAUUUCUCGCACCACCGCAGUCCCCACCUUUAACUUCUUAAAUACAUUUAUAUUAUUUUUAGGAAGACAAAAUGAAGUUGUAAUUUCUUUGCUUUGAACUAGUACAGACUUAGAGACAUAUGACACAUCCUUGUUUUGAAGAAGACCGUCCAGUGUAGGCCAUGGUAAAAUGGUGGAUGUUCAAUUGAAGGGAAGUGCUUGUAGGAUUAAGAAGUGUGCCUUCGAGUUGCUGUCGAUUGGGAGCGAUCUGAUGAACGACGGUCAGUCGUCGUGGGACUUGUUGGGAAGGGAUCUGCGCCUGAAAUCCACAUUCUUGUAUUGUGAUCUUAAUCAGAUGAUCUCUUGUGCACCAAGGGAUCAGAAGAGGGCCCUCACAGAACUUGCCAACAAAUUGUUUUGCUCCAUUGAAGAGUUGGAUCAUGCAAUGAAAAUUCGUAGCGUUCCUUUGACCCAAGAUCGAUACAAUCAGGCUGCUGUCGUCUUACAGGAGGUGCUGGCUCUUGCGCCUUAAACACGACACGUCGUCAAUGCAGCCUCGGCCUUAAAUUGGUGUCCAGUAGUACAGUACAAUUUCAUCUGUAAAUAAAAGUUUAUCUUCAAGUUCUUUUUUUUUUUGGUUUUUUUUUUUUGGUGGUGGUUGUUUUUGUUACACUAUAUAUAUAGGACAUGUUUGUGUCGGAUUGUGAGUGACUGGUGGCUGGGAGAUGGGGAAGGAGGAAGCUUGGAUGACCAUGCAUUCGAUAAACAUUCAAAGAUGGAGCUAGACAAUACAUAAGUUGAGAGAGAGAGAGAGAGAGAGAGAGAGAGAGAGGA